rnacentral:rRNA from 1 species
GAACGGGUGAGUACACGUGGGUGAUCUGCCCUGCACUUUGGGAUAAGCCUGGGAAACUGGGUCUAAUACCGAAUAUGAUCACGGGCUUCAUGGUCUGUGGUGGAAAGCUUUUGCGGUGUGGGAUGGGCCCGCGGNCNNNCAGCUUGUUGGUGGGGUAAUGGCCUACCAAGGCGACGACGGGUAGCCGGCCUGAGAGGGUGACCGGCCACACUGGGACUGAGAUACGGCCCAGACUCCUACGGGAGGCAGCAGUGGGGAAUAUUGCACAAUGGGCGCAAGCCUGAUGCAGCGACGCCGCGUGAGGGAUGACGGCCUUCGGGUUGUAAACCUCUUUCAGCACAGACGAAGCGCAAGUGACGGUAUGUGCAGAAGAAGGACCGGCCAACUACGUGCCAGCAGCCGCGGUAAUACGUAGGGUCCGAGCGUUGUCCGGAAUUACUGGGCGUAAAGAGCUCGUAGGUGGUUUGUCGCGUUGUUCGUGAAAACUCACAGCUUAACUGUGGGCGUGCGGGCGAUACGGGCAGACUGGAGUACUGCAGGGGAGACUGGAAUUCCUGGUGUAGCGGUGGAAUGCGCAGAUAUCAGGAGGAACACCGGUGGCGAAGGCGGGUCUCUGGGCAGUAACUGACGCUGAGGAGCGAAAGCGUGGGGAGCGAACAGGAUUAGAUACCCUGGUAGUCCACGCCGUAAACGGUGGGUACUAGGUGUGGGUUUCCUUCCUUGGGAUCCGUGCCGUAGCUAACGCAUUAAGUACCCCGCCUGGGGAGUACGGCCGCAAGGCUAANACUCAAAGGAAUUGACGGGGGCCCGCACAAGCGGCGGAGCAUGUGGAUUAAUUCGAUGNCACGCGAAGAACCUUACCUGGGUUUGAC